UCCUGCGAUCCCUUCACUUCCCUCCAAAUGCCACACAGGCAGAGCGGACUUAAUCAAAUGCCAUCGAACAGCUUCUGAAUUGGCCGCCGCCCUCACAUCCGCGUCAUGCGCUCCCCUCCAUCCUCCCCCAUCGCCUACGCUGGUACGCCCUGGACCCUGCAGUGCCUCCCCUCCCACGACGCCUGCAACGACGGCGGCACGAUCCGUGGCACCUGUCUCCGUCGAUCUCGGGUAGGAAAGGGACUCCACUGCCUCCGUCGGUUGCGAUCUAUGGCGCCCGUCUCAACACAGCCACCAUGGACAUCCUCCGCCCGCCUUCGGCCACAAGCGAGCGCGAGAUCCCUGCGACCCCACGCGCUGCAAGAGGGGAGCAAAGGAGUGCGCGGAUCCUAGGGGAGACCUAAAUCUCAUGCCACCGUCGCCUCAGCAGGGUACAGAUCGUUCUCCCCGUGCCCGGCAACCGAGUGGAAGAGCGCGGCCCUCUCGGCAUCGAUGCACGCUCCUCCCUGCUGCCCCCCCGUUGGUUCGGAUGGCCGGUGCAGCCACGCCAUGGUCGAGUUCGCCCACCGCAGUGAGUCUCCCAUGGAGAGCUCUGCUUCAUCCCAAAGAGGCCGUACGCUCUGCUCCCUUUGCUUUCCUUUUCUUUUCCUCGUUUCUUUGAGUCUGGGAUAUUUUUAGUUUUUCAGAGUGGAACAAGACGCAUCUGGGAGGAGUUCAAGAAGGAGGAGGAGGUACGCCCGCACUUUAUUUGCAGUAAAAGAUAUUCAUGUAUAUAGCUUACUUUCGUUCUUGCACUCCAAUAUUCAGUGUAUCGAUAUGCUCCUUUAGCACUGACUACUGAGUCACUUGUCUUGUGUUCAUGAUACUGACUUGCUCAUUGAAAGUCAUGAUCAAAUUUUCUCAUGUUCUGACAAUAUUUCUUUGGUAGAUAUAAUCUCAAAUCAUGAAUUCUGAACUUUUGCACAGAGAUGCUUUAUCUAUAAUAUCUCUAAUGCACAGCGAUGCUUUAUCUAUAAUAUCUCGAAUGCACAGCGAUGCUUUAUCUACAGAAUCUCGAAUGCAUGUAUGAACUGUGCUCUCCUCAUCCCCGCCCAGUGAAUUUCCGUCUCAAAUCGAUUGGAUCUGGGGAUUUUUUUUGGUUUUGUUUGGGUUGCAGCUUCCCGUGAACGACGAGCUGCUGUGGGAUAACGGCACGCCCUUCCCGGAACCCUGCAUCGACCGCCUCGCCCCGCACAUCGGCAAGUACGAGGCGUUGGCGUGGCUGUGCAGAGGGCUGGGGUUCUUCGCUGCCCUUGGCGUGGCUGCUGCUGUGAACGACAAGGCCUCCAAGAUACCAUAUGUGAGUGUGCAUUGCUAGCUGUUGUUUCUCUGAUUGCAUUUUGAUCUUUCAGUGUUUGUUGUGUUGUGCUAUAGAGAUCACUCCACCUACUGUAACUAUAUUUCUACUAUGCUAUUUUAAAUACUUGCCUCCUUGGGUUAUUGUUAAGUUACUAGAAGAUAUUAUUACUUAAAAGUUCCUAUCAGACAAAAUGGUAAUAUUGCUUUCAAAUGUUGAAAAUCUGGACCCUCAUAGAAGAUGUCUGUGAUUUUGCAUGCCUAUAGAUAUCACUCCACCUAUGGUAAGCUAACAUUUUGUAGGAAAAAAAACUGGGAAAUGGGUUGGUGGAAUUGAGGUAACAGAUUCACUAUGAGCAAAGCCUUCUCUUGCUCCUACUGUUUAGCCUUUAUUCGGUAAGCAGAUUCAUAAGCAGUGUUUUCCUAGACAUUAAACGGUGUGAGGCACCUACUGUUUAGCCUUUAUUCGGGCUAAAUGGUCAAUUAAAUGGGUUCAACCGCCGAUUAAACAGAAAUAGGGUACCACAGUGUAGCGUUUUCAUGGUGUUUAAAUUGGCUAAAUUAAUCACUGGAGCACUCUCUCGGUUUCAUCCGUCAGAGACAAGGACUCCGACGAAGACCCAACAGGUAUGCCCACCCUUCUCUUCCCUUUGUGCUGUGCGAAAUACAACUAAAAAGAACAAAAGAUGUUGUGCGAAAUCGAGCACCCGAACCUCAUUCGUUCAUUCCUUGUCUAAUUCUUAUUGCAGCCAAUGUGAUUCGUUUGUUCCAUCCUGUGACUUAUUGGGUUGAUUUUUUCUGUCUAAGAACAGAAUCUGAUUAGAUUUUUUUUCAAUCAGAAAAAAUUAGAUGCCCUGAUUUCAACGAUCAGGUGUUGGUAGGCUGGCUGCGCUUAGAUGGUGCUAUAUGUGCAAAUGCUUUCUUGCUCCCAUUAUUCUUUACCAUAUACAUAUGAAACAAAUGCGCAGACUGAAAGCUGAAAGGCUACCCUGAUGAAAGUGGAUCUAGGUUGGAGCAGAUACUUUACUAGGCUAGAACAGUUACUAUAUAUUAACUACUAAUGUGACUUCAGAGUCCAGACACUUGAUAAAGCCCAUUUAGCAGAUAGUUGAAACUUUAGAGCAGUGAGAAGAUGGACAAGAGACACAUUCAGCACUUAUCUGACUAGAUCACGUCUUCCUGCCACUGUUAGUACCCUCCAUGGCCAUUACCUUUGCAGUUGGACCAAGGAAAAAAAAUUCUAUCUUUCGUCAUAAGUAAGGCCGAUUUACAUUAUUUUGUACUGGUAGAUUCCUACAGUGCAGUAGGUGAACUAGAUCAAUACCACCAGACCUUACGUAAUCAACAAAAUAGCUGUAGACUUCUCUUGAAGCUGUAGUGAAGUUCCUAUGCGACUGAUGCUAAUAUUCAUUUUGGGUUUUGGCUUCCAGGGUUUGCAGGGUACCAAUUCUGCUGGACUUUAACUACGUCCUGGCUUCUGGCACAGGUGGAUGAUAGUGAACUUCAUGAUACUUAGCCUUUGAAUUAGCAGAUGCUGCUAUCUGUUAAGAGCUUCUAGGUGAAAUUACAAAUUGCCUUGAGAGUUCUUUCUCAAUAGGGUGUAGCCAUGAAUUGAAAAACAUACCUAAAAUUAUUUGUUUUGUCAAGAUGACCCUGUUCAGUAGCAGUAGGAAAGAAUAUGGUAUUUUGCACGGGACAAUUAACGCUGAUGAUUGGCAAAAAAUGAAUAUUACAUACAUGGUGCUCAAAAUGGCUUUUUAAUAAUAGAAACAAAACAUGUUGAAA